AAGGACAAGAGGACAUAAGCAGAAAAAUUCAGGAUGAAUAAAUGAAUAAAUGAUGACAGAAUUUUAAAUUCUGGGUAACUAUCUCUUAAAAAAAAAGUAUAAAGAGAGAAAUAGGCUGCAGGAGAAGAAAAACACAAGAAGGGGAAGGUGAAACACACUGCACAAAGACUAUGAGAGGAAGAAAAGUGGGUGAAACGAAGGGGCGUGAGAGAACGAGCGACUGAAAGACGGGAAUCAUCAGACUGGAGUGGAUGGGACCUGAAGGACAUUGACGUCCCCUCUCAACUCAACCGCACUCCAUCCACAUCCUACAUCUGUCUAUUCAACACCAUCAUCAAGCACAGGGAAUCAAUGACAC
ensembl:lncRNA